rnacentral:rRNA from 1 species
UUUACAAUGAAGAGUUUGAUCCUGGCUCAGGAUGAACGCUAGCUACAGGCUUAACACAUGCAAGUCGAGGGGCAGCAUUUUAGUUUGCUUGCAAACUGAAGAUGGCGACCGGCGCACGGGUGAGUAACACGUAUCCAACCUGCCGAUAACUCCGGAAUAGCCUUUCGAAAGAAAGAUUAAUACCGGAUAGUAUACGAAUAUCGCAUGAUAUUUUUAUUAAAGAAUUUCGGUUAUCGAUGGGGAUGCGUUCCAUUAGUUUGUUGGCGGGGUAACGGCCCACCAAGACUACGAUGGAUAGGGGUUCUGAGAGGAAGGUCCCCCACAUUGGAACUGAGACACGGUCCAAACUCCUACGGGAGGCAGCAGUGAGGAAUAUUGGUCAAUGGGCGAGAGCCUGAACCAGCCAAGUAGCGUGAAGGAUGAAGGCUCUAUGGGUCGUAAACUUCUUUUAUAUGGGAAUAAAGUUUUCCACGUGUGGAAUUUUGUAUGUACCAUAUGAAUAAGGAUCGGCUAACUCCGUGCCAGCAGCCGCGGUAAUACGGAGGAUCCGAGCGUUAUCCGGAUUUAUUGGGUUUAAAGGGAGCGUAGGUGGAUUGUUAAGUCAGUUGUGAAAGUUUGCGGCUCAACCGUAAAAUUGCAGUUGAAACUGGGAGUCUUGAGUACAGUAGAGGUGGGCGGAAUUCGUGGUGUAGCGGUGAAAUGCUUAGAUAUCACGAAGAACUCCGAUUGCGAAGGCAGCUCACUAGACUGUCACUGACACUGAUGCUCGAAAGUGUGGGUAUCAAACAGGAUUAGAUACCCUGGUAGUCCACACAGUAAACGAUGAAUACUCGCUGUUUGCGAUAUACAGUAAGCGGCCAAGCGAAAGCAUUAAGUAUUCCACCUGGGGAGUACGCCGGCAACGGUGAAACUCAAAGGAAUUGACGGGGGCCCGCACAAGCGGAGGAACAUGUGGUUUAAUUCGAUGAUACGCGAGGAACCUUACCCGGGCUUAAAUUGCAACAGAAUAUAUUGGAAACAGUAUAGCCGUAAGGCUGUUGUGAAGGUGCUGCAUGGUUGUCGUCAGCUCGUGCCGUGAGGUGUCGGCUUAAGUGCCAUAACGAGCGCAACCCUUAUCUUUAGUUACUAACAGGUCAUGCUGAGGACUCUAGAGAGACUGCCGUCGUAAGAUGUGAGGAAGGUGGGGAUGACGUCAAAUCAGCACGGCCCUUACGUCCGGGGCUACACACGUGUUACAAUGGGGGGUACAGAAGGCGGCUACCUGGUGACAGGAUGCUAAUCCCAAAAACCUCUCUCAGUUCGGAUCGAAGUCUGCAACCCGACUUCGUGAAGCUGGAUUCGCUAGUAAUCGCGCAUCAGCCAUGGCGCGGUGAAUACGUUCCCGGGCCUUGUACACACCGCCCGUCAAGCCAUGAAAGCCGGGGGUACCUGAAGUACGUAACCGCAAGGAGCGUCCUAGGGUAAAACUGGUAAUUGGGGCUAAGUCGUAACAAGGUAGCCGUACCGGAAGGUGCGGCUGGAACACCUCCUUUCUG